rnacentral:rRNA from 1 species
CAGUCGCCACGGGAACACCAGCACCUCGAGUGGUCAGGAGGUUUAUUGGGCCUAAAGCAUCCGUAGCCGGUUGCAUAAGUUUUCGGUUAAAUCUAUGCGCUUAACGUAUAGGCCGCCGAAAAUACUGUGCAGCUAGGGAGUGGGAGAGGUACACGGUACUCGAUAGGAAGGGGUAAAAUCCUUUGAUCUAUUGAUGACCACCUGUGGCGAAGGCGGUGUACCAGAACACGUUCGACGGUGAGGGAUGAAAGCUGGGGGAGCAAACCGGAUUAGAGACCCCUGUAGUCCCUGUCUCUUAUAC